GCUGCUGGAAGAGAGUAGGUGAGUUGUGUUUAGUCUCUUUGCUAAAGAAAUUAGUCAAAGUUAAAAAGAUGUUUGAUGGCUAGUACUGUGGCUGUGACCCUAUAUGUACUGUUGAUGAAGUUAGGUGCUGUUCUGAGCAUUAUUCGUGGCUAUAGAGUGGCGUUUUGGUUGAGGUUUGUUUAUGGCUCCUCAGACCGCUGUGUAUUGCUAUCCUGCGGUUGUUACUUAAGUUGAUAUAACUAGAGAAGCAAGUGGUCGGCAACAUUAAUCUCUGGAGGGGGGUGUUUAACUCGGUGUGACAGUGUGUUUGACCCUAAAUUAAUUUUACGCUGGAAUAUCCCUUUAAGACCUGAAUCCUUAUCUGAGUUUGAUCUUGUUAGAAAUGGUUCAUAAGGUUAUUAGGAUGUCAGAUUUUCAUCUCAUGAUCAUCAGGAUCAUUUUGACAUUUUUCUGUCACAUGUUUAAGUUGUUUUAUGGUUGGAUCCAAAAUUACGGACUCACCCUUUAUUCUCUCCUCCAUACAAAGUGAGUUUAAAGAAGUUCAUUCAUUAAGCAAUAAUUCAUAUUAUACUGAGGAUAUAUUCACAGAUUAAGAUACUAAUCAAUCAUGUUUUUAGUCUAAUACUGAGAUAUGUCUCUUAUAAACACUGCUGUUUGACCACCCUGAGGAAAAACUCACAUUUCGCCGUAGAAAAGCCUUUUAAAACUUUAAAAUGUCUUAAUUUCUGUAAUAAAUUUCCUCCUAAACUCAUCUGUUUCUUCUCAUUCUUGUUAAAAUUAUUUUAAAUUGAAAAUCAGAUUUCUAUUAUGAUUUAAUCUAAUUGAUCUAACUGUAGCUCUUUAAUGCCUGAAGCCACAAAUUAUGGCCAGAAAAUUCCCAUUUUUUUGGAGCUGAAAUGUUUAAUUUACUUUACUUUACUUUAAUUUACAUUUAUCGGACUGUAUUCAGGUGUUUUUUUAGUAAUUUGUUGAUCAUAUUGAUUUGAUAGAAGUAUAUAAAAGUAUGAAUAAAAUAUGAUAUAAAAGGCAUUAAAGGGUUAAUAUCUUCUAUUAUGAUUAAUUUCAACUCAAUAAAAACGUUUCUGUUUAAUUAUUUUCUGGUUAGUUUGGUCUUAAUCAGAUUUAUGAAAUAAUUUGUUAAAUAUUUCAAAGUUGGAAAAAAAAUGGUCAGUUUCACUGACAGCGCAAUGCAUGAUGGGACAGUCCAUGUAUUAUCCGUCCAUUCAAUUAUUCCCAUGAUCCUCAGCGACAGUGACCAUGGCGAAAGAUGUGACAGAGCGGUUCGAGCGCCAAAAUCUUACGUUGUAAUAGAGCUCUGGUUGUAAUUUUUUCUACAGUCAUAUCUUCCUUCUUCAGCGUGACCCUCCUGGCAGCUUUGAAUAAUACGUAGGAAGAUGCUUCCAUCUCCAUGACAGCAGGUUAGCCUUUCUCUAGUGCUUUUGCCUGGAGUUUUUGGUCCACGUUGUUGGCUACUUUGUGGUGCAAUGCACAUGUGCGAACAGUAGAAAGGCACCGUGGGAAAUGGGGACAUCAAUAACCCGAAAAACGAAAAAGUACAUUUAUUAUUUUGUUUUGGUUUCCUUCUCUAUCAUAUAUUCUGUUUGAACUGAAAAUGCGAAAACAAACACUCAUCUUUUAUUUUUUGGUUAUAUGGAAAAACAAAUAAACAAAAUAUUGACUCAUUUUUUCAUUUUUCGUUUACUGGAUUGAAUGGAAUAAUUGAAUGGACAUGGACCCUGGGAUAUAUAGUUCAGUUAGUGAUUACAUUUGAAACUCCAGAUUCAUUUUUAAGAGCACUAUUCGGCAAAUAGUGAUUGAUUCUGGACCAUAGACUGUAUAUACUAUGGACAACUUGGUUCCACCUACCGCCUGUAUAUGGAUUUGAAGCCAAAAAGCUCUCGGGAAUUCUGGGAUUUUUCUUCAUUUCCUGAAACCAGCGCUGCACAGUAGCAAUGAGCGCAUUCGGCCACACAGUCGCAGAGAGUCGCUGUGAUGACACUCUGUUCAAACAGCGUAUCCCCCUGGUGAACUAUGCAAUCCCUGAACGUCCAUAGGCUCUAUCAGGUGUCAAUCAUAGAAAACAUGAACCCCCUAAUAACUUUGAAAAACGGAGCUUCACAGAAAAAAAAGGACUUGAGCACAAACCAGUCUUACAAUAACUACAUGUCAACAUCACAAGCAGGGGGGAGAAAAAUUUAUGUUCUGCGUAAUAAAUUUCUAAAGUUUGUCCACAGCUCCAUAAGCUUUGCUGGCGGAGGCGGGUUUUAUGACCUACACUGCAGCCUAUCAACAGAGGGUGCUGUUCUCGGAGUGGCUUCACCCAGCGAGGAGGCAGACUCUGUCCCUUCUAUAUACAGUCUAUGUUCUGGACACAGUCUUUGUCCUACAUUGUGAAAUCUGCUUUUAUUUUGAAGUCUGGGCCACUUCCUGUAGAUCCUGAGCUACAGAACUGAAUAAAACUGUUAAAUAACCUUUAAAGAGUCUGAUGGGUCAAAAACCCAAACAGGAACAUGCCCUGACAUGGUUUUAAAUCUCUGAAUAAGGAGGCUACAGCUAGCUUAGCUCUGGGACCAUUAUUAUCCUUCAAGUCUGACAGAAUUUCAGUCAGAGAGAGUUUUCUGUCAAAGAGGGAAAUAUUUAUAAACCAUCAACAGUUUUUACGUCUGCCCCUUUACAGCUGCUGAUAAAAAUAGGAACUUUAUCUCACUGAACAUGAAGCUGCCAGCCGACUGACCUAACCUGCUGGUAUGUGUGUUAUUGUGUCCCACACAAACAAACAAAUACUGUAGACGGCCUGAAACUGUCUCUCCUGCCUCAGUCCGGAGAAUUUUAUAGAGCAGCUCUGUAGAAAAAACAACAACAAUAUAUAUAUAUAUAUAUAUAUAUAUAUAUAUAUAUAUAUAUAUAUAUAUAUACCAACACUCUUAGAGGAGUUCAGUGGACUUUAAAUCCAAAUCCUGUAUGGACUAGGGGCUCUAUUUUCGUGUGCGCCGGUGAGGCGGCGGAGGGCGGCGAGCCCCGCGCAGUUGUAUUUUCGUCUGGCGGAGCCCGGCGUAAGGCCAGUUUGGUAUUUUCGUGGACUGAGCCGCACGGAGGCGAGCCGAGAUCCGCCAAGCUGGGCGUGGUGGCGUGGCAGGGGGAGGUGUUGACAGAAUCAGCAGGCACAGUGACAUUUUCGUGCUCGCCACCGGUGUGUAAAGUGCGCUGAAAGCUCGCCGAUUCAAACCUGGUCAGCUUUCAGCGCAAGGCGGAACGCAGCUGGUCUAGUAGUAUUUUGGUAGACCGGCGGUGUAUCGACAUACGUCACUGAUGCCUCACCGGCAGGUUUCCACAGUGUCAGGCACAUUUCAGUGCAAUAAGUAAUCAUCAUCAACUAUUAAUCUGAGACAGCACAUAUAUUUAGAUCUUUAUCGAUAUAUUCUGAUCUAUAUCUGAUCUGAUGAGCGCGUUUGGCACGCGUUUGGACACACAACCUGACCGAAUCAACACAGCUGAAACCGCAUCAAAUUAAAUUAAAUAUCUAGUAAAUAGACACACAUGAUGAAGUUAACAAGAUAUGUAAUUCGUCUCCCUCCUUUUCUUUCUUCCUCUUCCUCUUAUUUCUCGCACAGCUCGACCUGGACACGUCUCCGUGUCCUCUGUCCGUCUUGCUGCUGCUGCGGCUGAACAGAUGAUUUGUUUCAGUGCUCAGAUGCGUUACCUACUUUAAGCCGGCAUACGGAUAUUAUAAAAUUCAGUUUUGUGGGCCAAAUUUAUUUUAUAUGCCAACAUCUAUGAAAGAAAGAGCCAGGCCACGGAGUGCGAUGCGUCAUUCACGCACAGAUGGUUCCGAUUUUAAUGCCAUUUUUGGAGUUUAUGUUGUGAUCUGUGCGCUCAAUCCACCUUUGUCACAUGAGGUUUGAAUAUGUGCAACUUUAUGUGAGUGUCUUUAUUUGUGGAAAAGGGUGUUUGUCUUACCACUGGGUCCAACAUUACACACACCAAAUCCAUCUGUGCUCAUAUGAGAGGGUGUGGAGGACACUUGUUGAGGAGCUGCCCUCUGUCACCAUCUCGUGGCAUUACUGUCUUAAGACAUCUCUUGAUCUCUUUGACUACUUCAUGAAAAUAGUAAUACGCCUCGCCUGUGGCGGAUUUAAAGGCAAGGAGAGGAGCUUAUGUGAUUGGUGAAAACAGGUCUCGGCUGUGUUAAACCCACUACAUGCCCUCUCUCCUCCCCGUCUAUUACUUAUGCUGCUGGGAGGAGCUGAGUUAUGGAGGGGGGAUACUUACGCCGGGCUGCGCAGCUCACCAAAAUACCAAAAUGUGCUUGGGAACGCCUUGUCAGCGCGGCGGAUCUGACUGACGCUGCGCUUGCGGCACGUCUCCGGCGAGGCACGAAAAUAGAGCCCUAAAAGUCAUCUUGACCUAAAAUAUGAAAGCUCAAAAUUUACUGAGCGUAUUUAUGUUUUAUCGUAUGUCAUGUUCACCUGACAGGUACAGAUCUACAAACUAGAGCACAUUUCACUGGAGGCAGCUGUUUGUCCUCUUCACAAACUAUUCAGGCUGAAAUUCUCAUUUUGGUUUCUGUGUUUUUUUACCUUACAUGUUGUGUAAGCUCAUUUCAUCAUAUCUUAUUGUACGAUAUCAUACAGUAUUUUAUAGUAUUAUACUGCAUUAAAUCGUACUAUAUCAUAUCACACUCUUUUCUGUCACAUUGUACAGUAGUAUACUGUUUUAUUGUAUCCUAUUGCACUGUGUCAUAUCAAAUCAUAUUCAAUCAAUUCAAUACUGUAUGGUAUAAUACAGCAUUGCUCAGUGUUGUAUCAUAUAGUACAGUAUAAUACUGUAUUGUAUAGUUUUAUACAGUAUCUUAUCGUAUCAUAUCGUAUCGUAUCAUAUAGUAUCAUACUGUAUUGUUUGGUAAAUACAGUAUCUUAUUGUAUUAUACAGUAUCUUACAGUGUCGUACAGUACCGUACUGAAUUGUUAGAUAUCGUACAGUAUUGUAUCAUAUCAUAUUGUACAGGUUAAUACAGUAUUGCACUGUAUUGUUAGGUAUUAUACAGAAUUGUAUCGUAUUUUACAGUAUCAUAGUGUGCUGUUAGGUAUCACACAGUAUCAUAAUUUACAGUAUCAUUUACUCUGUUAUUAAAAGACUUGUGUUGUAUUUUCGGUCAUAUUUCUGGGUGUCAUGUGUUCAGACUUCCAAACCUCCGACCAUAAACCACCUUCAGUUUGGAUCACUCAGUCUGAAACCUCAGCCUCUGCCAGUGAACACCACUUUAGGCGACGGGUUGUUUCCGUCCCUGUAAACAAGUCGAGGAGUCUAAUCAGGACGAGGCCUUCGACCAAUCAGAACAAAGACGUUUACUGACUUUAAAACUUCCUCUAAAAUCAUUUCCUAUCCACCUUUGGGGGUCUUUUUAAUGGGAAUCCAGCAGGUUUAGAUUGAAGGUGUCAGUUCUAGUAGAAAUAUCUCCUGAAUGACAAACAGAGCUGAAACGAGCGUCGCUUUAAAACAAAGAAGAGCUUCAAAGUCGAGUUUAGGAGGAGUAGACGUGUCAAAUUCAGUCUGAAUCCAAUGUCACCGUAUCACUCAGGCCUGUAAGGCCCUCAGUUUGACCUGCUUUAAAUAAAACCACCGUUAAACACGUGAGGACAAACACACACAGGAAACACACUCUUCAGCCUACCUGCGAAAAGGUGGAGCAGCUUCAGAUCCAGAGAGAGAAUAAAAGAUCCUGAGAGUCCUGCUGUCACACAAACACAACCACAGACCCACACACUGACUGCAGGGCAGGCUGAAAUAGAGUGACACACACUCACACACACACUCGCUGAUAAGAAACACGGCCGGCUGACAGACGAGGCCUCUAUAAAUAUCUGCAGGGGGGCAGGGGGGACGGGGGACAAGACCCUGUUUGGAGAAGAAAGACCGAGACCAGACGACCAGAAGAAGAGCAGUGGGAGACGUUUGGAGGAUUUCAAGAACCUGAACUCAAUAAAUUAAUCCGUUUGUGUGAGUUAAACUGAGACGACGUGGGUUUUAAUGUGUGUCACUGAAGGGGGGUCAUGUGGGGCGGGGGCUGGGGGGUUAAUGGACGCCGGCUGUCCUGUCAGAGGACACAUGUGCACAUGUGCAGAUCUGCACCGCAUCAGCUGUCCAGUUUGAUGGACAGCUCCAACUGGGGGAGAGGUGAGGAGUAGGAGGAGGAGGAGCUGGUGUCUUUGAGGAAGAAUGGGGGGAGGGUAUCAGAGACCACAUCCAGGAAAAACACAAAACAGUUUUUUUUUUGUUUUUUUUUUAACGCCUGGUUUAAAGGGAUAUUCUGGUGUAAAAUUAAGUUAGGGUCAAACACACCGUAACACCGAGUUAGACACCCUCGUCGAGAGAUGAAUGUUGCCGACCGCUUGCUUCUCUAGUUAUACCAACUUUAAUAAUGAUACAGUGGGGUGACGCAGCUCAGGGAAGAACAUUUAUGAUCAUUUCUUCAUGGAAAUACAAUCAGACCGAGACACUUAGGCAGAAGAACUACCACAUCUGCAGUGCAAAUUAUUAAUAUGAUGAUAAUUACUUCAAGGCCAGUCCAUUACGGACUACAGCGGGGUGACGCAGCUCAAGCAAGAACAUUUAUGAUAAUUUCUUUAUCAUUUCCUUGAAGUAAUUAUCACCAUAUUAAUCAUUUUGCUGCAGAUGCGGUAGUUCUUCUGCCUUAGUGUCUCAGUUUGAUUGUAUUAUAAAUGUUCUUCCUUGAGCUGCGUCACCCUGCUGUAGUCCGUAAUGGACUGGCCCGAGGUCUCACUACAAACAAGCGGCUGCUGGAAGAGAGUGGGUGAGUUGUGUUUAGUCUCUUUGCUAAAGAAAUUAGUCAAAGUUGAAAAGAUGUUUGGUGGCUAGUACUAUGGCUGGGACCCUAUAUGUCCUGUUGAUGAAGUUAGGUGCUGUUCUGAGCAUUAUUUGUGGCUAUAGAGUGGUGUUUUGGUUGAGGUUUGUUUAUGGCUCCUCAGACCGCUGUGUAUUGCUAUCCUGCGGUCGUUACUAAAGUUGGUAUAACUGGAGAAGCAAACGGUCGACAACAUU
rnacentral:lncRNA from 1 species